rnacentral:tRNA from 1 species
UGUAGAAAAGUUUUAAUAACACCAAAAUUUGAAUUUGGAAAUGACAAUUAAAUUUGUCUUCUACAA